rnacentral:rRNA from 1 species
CACGUAGUUAGCCGGGGCUUCCUCCUAAGGUACCGUCAUCUUUUUCUUCCCUUAGGACAGAAUUUUACGACCCUAAGGCCUUCUUCAUUCACACGGCGUUGCUGCAUCAGGCUUUCGCCCAUUGUGCAAUAUUCCCCACUGCUGCCUCCCGUAGGAGUCUGGACCGUGUCUCAGUUCCAAUGUGGCCGCCUACCCUCUCAGGUCGGCUACUGAUCGUCGCCUUGGUGAGCCGUUACCUCACCAACUAACUAAUCAGACGCAGGCCCAUCCCAUACCGAAUUCUCUUUGACAUCUUUAACAUGUGUUAUCUAUGCUUUAUGAGGUAUUAAUCACCGUUUCCGGUGGCUAUCCCCCUGUAUGGGGCAGGUUGCCUACGCGUUACUCACCCGUCCGCCGCUUUCCCUUUUGUAAAUCUACCGAAGUUUCUUACAUAAGUUCUCGCUCGACUUGCAUGUGUUAGGCACGCCGCCAGCGUUCAUCCUGAGCCAGGAUCAAACUCU